rnacentral:pre_miRNA from 1 species
GUUUUAGUAUAAGUAUGUCCCAGGUACUAUUUGGAAUAUACUUAUACUAAAA